CCUCAGUAACGGCGAGUGAAGCGGCAACAGCUCAAAUUUGAAAUCUUGGCCCUUGGGUCCGAAUUGUAAUUUGCAGAGGAUGCUUUUGGCGAGGUGCCUUCCGAGUUCCCUGGAACGGGACGCCACAGAGGGUGAGAGCCCCGUCCGGAUGUGCCACCAAGCCUCUGUAAAGCUCCUUCGACGAGUCGAGUAGUUUGGGAAUGCUGCUCUAAAUGGGAGGUGUAUGUCUUCUAAAGCUAAAUACCGGCCAGAGACCGAUAGCGCACAAGUAGAGUGAUCGAAAGAUGAAAAGUACUCUGAAGAGAGAGUUAAAUAGCACGUGAAAUUGUUGAAGGGGAAGCGUUUAUGACCAGACUUGGGGCUGGCCGAUCAUCCAGGGUUCUCUCUGGUGCACUCGGCCAGUCUUAGGCCAGCAUCAGUUUGCGCCGGGGGAUAAAGGCUUCGGGAACGUAGCUCCUCUCGGGGAGUGUUAUAGACCGUUGCGUAAUACCUGGUGCGGACUGAGGAACGCGCUUCGGCACGGAUGCUGGCGUAAUGGUCAUCAACGACCCGUCUUGAAACACGGACCAAGGAGUCGUCCUCGUAUGCGAGUGUUCGGGUGUCAAACCCCUACGCGGAAUGAAAGUGAACGUAGGUGAGAGCUUCGGCGCAUCACCGACCGAUCCUGAUGUUCUCGGAUGGAUUUGAGUAAGAGCAUACGGGGCCGGACCCGAAAGAAGGUGAACUAUGCCUGUGUAGGGUGAAGCCAGAGGAAACUCUGGUGGAGGCUCGCAGCGGUUCUGACGUGCAAAUCGAUCGUCAAAACAUGGGCAUGGGGGCGAAAGAC
rnacentral:rRNA from 1 species